rnacentral:lncRNA from 1 species
CAUAUCAUUUGCAGGCUUGUGUAACUAGGAUGGUAGCGGGGUGAAAAGGCCAUGGCUCGGGUGACGAGGUCCUUGAUGAUCUUUGGGGGCCAAGCCUAAUUUCCGUUACAACUUCGUCUCCCCUACCACUCUGCUACUACCGGCGUUGGAGGUUUAUGUGCUACAUUAGUAAGACUGGUUCUACUCAUGACAUCGAGAGGCUAUGAUUUUGACUUCAAACCCCUGUGCACAAGGAAAUACCAUACCUGGAAAAACCAGUUGGGGAUUCCUCCCUUACAAGACCAUACCUGGAAAAACCAGUUGGGGAUUCCUCCCUUACAAGACCAUACCUGGAAAAACCAGUUGGGGAUUCCUCCCUUACAAGACCAUACCUGGAAAAA